GUGCCAGCCGCCGCGGUAAUACAGAGGUGGCGAGCGUUAUUCGGAAUUAUUGGGCGUAAAGGGCGCGUAGGCGGCUUGACAAGUCCCGGGUGAAAUCCCUCGGCUCAACCGAGGAACUGCCUUGGAAACUGUCUGGCUUGAGGCCGGGAGAGGGUAGUGGAAUUCCCAGUGUAGCGGUGAAAUGCGUAGAUACUGGGAGGAACACCGGUGGCGAAGGCGGCUACCUGGACCGGUUCUGACGCUGAGGCGCGAAAGCGUGGGUAGCAAACAGGAUUAGAAACCCCCGUAGUCC
rnacentral:rRNA from 1 species